UACGUAGGGCGCAAGCGUUAUCCGGAAUUAUUGGGCGUAAAGAGCUCGUAGGCGGUUUGUCGCGUCUGCCGUGAAAGUCCGGGGCUCAACUCCGGAUCUGCGGUGGGUACGGGCAGACUAGAGUGAUGUGGGGAGACUGGAAUUCCUGGUGUAGCGGUGAAAUGCGCAGAUAUCAGGAGGAACACCGAUGGCGAAGGCAGGUCUCUGGGCAUUAACUGACGCUGAGGAGCGAAAGCAUGGGGAGCGAACAGG
rnacentral:rRNA from 1 species